ensembl:lncRNA
UAUUAUAUAUAUUUAUUAUUGUUUCUUAUUUAUUAUUAUAAUUCUUUCUUAUUUCCUUUCUUUCUCUCUUUCACUUUCUUUCUUUCCUUCUCUCUCCCUCUCGUUUCUCCUCCAAAGCUCUUCUUUUUCUCUUUAAAUUUUUUUAGGUCCAUCCCCUGUCAAUUGACAAUUAGAUGUUGGCCUUGUCUUCUUACUCUGCUGUUUUUCUGGGGAUUUUCAUCCCCAUCCAGAGCUUUAAUUUUCACCUUUAGACGUCUGCUUCAAGUUAUGAUGAACAGGCUUCAGUGUGGUGAGCAGAUCAAGCCUCCCACCACCAGAAAUGACAAAAAUCUGGACAUAAUAGUUUAUCCAUAGCUUGUGAGUCUUUAUCUGCACGUGAUACCCUUCUCUUUUAGGGGAAAAAAAUCUGUUUCUGGCUCUACCUUUUGAAGUAGAAAAUUAAUUCUUAGAAUAAUACAAAGCAGACUUCUUCAGGGAGCCUUCCUUGAUUUUCCUGACCAGCUCCAACUCCCCAUUAUGGAGGCCUUAAAUAGCCUCCGUAUAUCUCUUUAUUAAUGUAUAAUAUAGCAGCAAUUUUACAUUUACUUGUGUGAUUAGUGAGGCCAUUGAGUAGAGUUGAGUGUUUAAAAGCAAGGAUUUAAAAAUAAAUAAAUAAAUAAAAGGCAAGUGUUUUCAAGCCAAGACUGCCUGGCUUGGAAUCUUGGGUCUUAAAUUCUUGGUGCCUCAAUUUCCUUGAAUUGGGAAUAGUAAUACAACCUAUUUUAAGAGUUGUGAGCCUUAAAUGAUUUAGUGUAUAUAUAAUGUUUAGAACAUGGCUUGGAGCAUAGUAAGCACUAUCACCUAUAAUUUUUGGAAUUUAGUUUUCAUCUGUCUCUCCUACAUUUUGCUCAUGAUUUUUUCCUCAGUGUUAAUACAGUUCAUGAGACAUUGGGCAUGCAGUAAUUGUCAGAGUCAUGUGUAAAUCAGAGUGUUUGGAAAAAAGAAAUGAUAUAUACAUGUAAAGCACAUUUGUAUAAGUGAAAAAGUAGAGAGUCUGCUUUGUGUUUUUAAAAAUGAUUCUAUUAGAUUAUUUAAAUAGUCAUUCACUGUUUCUGUUUGUACAACCUAUGCAAGAAGGGAAAUAGGUAUUUUUUUUAAUUCUAGGAGAAUUCAAACAAUAGUUUUAUGCUGGUUGAGUUCAUUAUAACAGAAUCAGUGAAGUCAGAGACUUUCAGUUAAAAUAUUACUCAAAUAUUUCAUAAGUGAAGAAUACAGUCAAAUUCAAAUUUCUGUAUUAAAUACAUAAGAAGUAGACAUAAUUUUUCAUAACAAACCAUGAAAAUAAACAUUUUAGUCUUGGCACUUAAGGAUUACACAAUGAAGAAUCAUUUUAGGUUUUAAAAUAUCACACACAUGUUGUAAACAACCUUUUAAGUACUCGAGUAUUUGAUGAGAAGGUACCAAAUAAAUAUAAAUCUGACAAGCAAACAUGGCUGUCAAGCAUGCAUAUUAUUUCUUUGGUUUGGAGGUUGCUGGAUUCUUUGAUUCAUUAUGAAUUAUUGGACGUUAACAGUUGAGAAAUACCUGUGCCAUAUGAGCAGCAAUAAUUCAAUGCAAACAAACCUAAACUUAAGAAAGGAUACUCCUAAAGUCAUAUAUUGUCAUUUGUCUUAGCUCAGGCUGUGAUAACAAAUUACUACAGACUGGGUGGCUUACACAACAGAAAUGUAUUUCUUACAGUUCUGGAGGCCAGGAAGUCUAAGAUCAAGGUGCCGACUGAUUUUAUUCCUGGUGAGGGCUCUUUCCUGUGUUUGCAGACAGUUA